rnacentral:rRNA from 1 species
AUGGCCGCGCCAUUUCUGCUCGUUCUUCUGCUCGUCGUCUCUGGGGGGGCUGCAGCGGGCGGCAACGACGAGGCGUGGCUUCCCCGGCUCGAGCUCCGAGGCAUCGACGACCCGGGCCGUGGGCACGCGUCCGUCGGGCCGGAGGAGCCGGUGGUCAUGGACGUUAUUAUCGCCACUGACGACGACGAGGCGGGCGAAACGCCCCUACUCGAGUUCCGUGGCAUCGACGACUCGGGCCGUGGGCACGCGUCCGUCGCACCGGAGGAGCCGGUGUCCAUGGCCCGUGUCUCCACGGACGACGACGAGGCGCCUCGGCUCGAGUUCCGAGGCAUCGACGGCUCGGGCCGUGGGCACGCGUCCGACGCGCCGAAGCAUCAGGUGUUCAUGGACGUUAUGUCCGCCAACGGAUGCGCGAGGUUCGCGGGCCUCCUCGCCGCGAAGGCGAACACGGGCGAGAUCUUCCAGUAG